GAAAAUUAUGGUUAUAUCAUAUAAACUUUUUUCCUCCAGAUAAUGGAGUUACCUAUACUGUUAAUCUCAUUUAACUACAAUCAGCAAAAUAUGGUAUUUUAAUGAGGUACCACUAUCAGGAAUAGUAUUUCAUAUGAUGGAAUGCCACAGAGAAUCCAAAACAUGUAGAGUAACUGAAUCCAGCAAACCUAAGAAUGAGGCAGCUGGUCAGAAAAUACAAGUACAUCAGUUGGAGAGGAAACAUAUUCAGAAGUCAUGUGAAAGGAGAGAGGAGAGAGAAAGAAUGGUCUUUAAAAGUGCCAGCCAAAGGAGAGCAAAGAUGAGAAUUGGAAAGUAAUCAAAUUAUUUCAUUGUCAAAUUGAGUCUUCAAGUUACUGCUUACUUGGUUUUACAUCAUAAAUGGCCACUUGAUCAUUCUGGCAUUUUAUGGUAGAGAAUACAUUGAGUUUGGCUCAUGGAAAGAAUAUGAGAAGCUCAUCUCAUUCUAACACAACUACAUGGGUUUGGCUGAUACUUGGGUGAAUCUGAGUCCUGGACAGUUGAAGAAUAAAGCAUAGUUGCAUCAGUAAUGAUGACUCACUCAACUGGGAGCAUCUCUCUGGGUGAGAAUAAAUUUUGUACAGCUUUAGCAGCAUACUCCAAUUUUUGAUAUGACUCCAUAUGAGGAGGUGACACCCUUGCAGCCUCAUGAGU